rnacentral:rRNA from 1 species
GACGAACGCUGGCGGCGUGCUUAACACAUGCAAGUCGAACGGUAAGGCCCUUCGGGGUACACGAGUGGCGAACGGGUGAGUAACACGUGGGUGAUCUGCCCUGCACUUCGGGAUAAGCCUGGGAAACUGGGUCUAAUACCGGAUAGGACCACUGCCUGCAUGGGUGGCGGUGGAAAGCUUUUGCGGUGUGGGAUGGGUCCGCGGCCGAUCAGCUUGUUGGUGGGGUGAUGGGCUACCAAGGCGACGUCGGGUAGCCGGCCUGAGAGGGUGACCGGCCACACUGGGACUGAGAUACGGCCCAGACUCCUACGGGAGGCAGCAGUGGGGAAUAUUGCACAAUGGGCGCAAGCCUGAUGCAGCGACGCCGCGUGAGGGAUGACGGCCUUCGGGUUGUAAACCUCUUUCAGCACCGACGAAGCGCAAGUGACGGUAGGUGCAGAAGAAGGACCGGCCAACUACGUGCCAGCCGCCGCCGUAA